GGAACAGUAUUUUAUGUAAUAUAAAAACGGAUAAUAACUUUUGAAGAUGAUCUAGUUGCGAUAGCAUGACCAACAAAUAUUGUAUGAUCACAUAUUUUGAUAACCGAGUGAUUAUCGUGAUUAGACCAGGAUAACAAAAAUUACGCGAUAAAAUGGGAGACAUCCUGAAAUAUCCAAGUAAUUAAUCUUUAUACAAAUAGGCCGGCUUGUAAGACCGGGAAGAGCAAUAGCAAUAUCAAUUACUCUCAAUAAACCAAAGAAGAAAACGACAUGCACACACUAAUAAACGAAUUGUAUUAAAUUAUCCUCUACUCGUCUCGGGUCUCGUAACAUAUAAUACGUGAAUUAUUCUCGAGUAGAGCUCGAGUAGAGCCAGAGUUAUUAAAACGUUUCUGGUAUAGAGUUAUCACCAAACGGACGUCCCAUCCCGCAGCUACAGCACACUACUGAACCAGAUACCUCCCCCCGGCCCCUAUUUCUACCAAUUAUCCCCCUCUAUCAUAUUAAACAAGCUCACUCCAUUGCUCAAACAGAACACCAUUGAAUUUAAUUAACCAGCAUCAUCGGAUUUUGGGCAGGAAAAAAAAUUACCAGCAAAAAGUAGAGGCGUUUUUAAAAAAAAACUGAACAAUAACUGACCACUGUCAACUCGCGUCUGUCAGAAAAGCACCCGCGAACAAUCACCACUCACUUAGCCUCGGCUCCUAGCAAUACCUCGACAAUUAAUAACAUGAACAAUACUAAUCAGAAUGAAACUGAAAAUUACAACAAUUAUAAACAACAAAGUAUAAUGUCCUAAAUGGAUGCGUUAUUAUAAAUGACAAUCGGGCAGCUGAUCCCGCGGUUGGGUAGCGCCGCAGCGCCCCGGGAUCAAUAAACCGACGCCGGCCGUCGCCUUCUGUUCCUUCCUGGCGUCCAACGGAGCUUUACAGCCCAUCGGAGCAGUUGCCAUCGUCAGCGACCCAGUCUCCACCUCCACCAUCGUGGAUAUUCAGCACAGAUCACAUAACAGCAUUUGCGCGGUUCACCAUCGCCUGCUACUGAGCACGCGCAAUUUAUCUUUAAUCUUGGAUGCUGCUGAAAAUCUUUCCAGCUUUUUAUCUCAUCUGCUUUAGAUCCACGCAAUUAUUAUGUACCAUGUAAUGCAAGCUGAUCUGCAAGAUUAUCAGUACCCGCAGCCAAGUCAGACAAUUUACCCAUAGGAAGAGACUUGACGAGGCUUUCAAGUACGCGAUAAUUAAGAAGUUCAUAAGUCAGCGACUGGAGAAUCCU